GAUGUCGAUCAACAGCAAGAAAAGUUGUGGCAGACCCUCGUACUACUACCGACUCCUCCGGAGGUCCCGACUUCAGAGACAGCGCAGCCGAUCCCGGAGUCGCAACCGGCCAGUGAGCAGGGAGUCCCCACCAGAGAGGACUGGACAGAGACGGGGGAUGCCCAGCGGGGGGCUGGAAAAGAACCCCAGCAUGGAGCCAGCUGCCCCAACCCCAUUCCGUGUCACGGGGUUCCUGAGCCGCCGGCUGAAAGGCUCCAUCAAAAGGACAAAGAGCCAGCCCAAGCUUGACAGAAACAGCAGCUUCCGGCACAUUCUACCUGGCUUCAGAAACGCGGACAAUGAGAGAUCCCAUCUAAUGCCGAGGCUGAAGGAAUCUCGCUCCCACGAGUCACUGCUCAGUCCCAGUAGCGCGGUGGAUGCCCUUGAUCUGAGCAUGGAGGAGGAGGUAGUCAUUAAGCCUGUUCACAGCAGCAUCUUGGGGCAAGACUAUUGCUUUGAGGUGACAACUGCAUCAGGUAGCAAAUGCUUCUCAUGCCGAUCCGCUGCAGAACGGGACAAGUGGAUGGAGAACCUGCGGAGAGCCGUGCAUCCCAACAAGGACAAUAGCAGGCGAGUCGAGAACAUGCUCAAGUUAUGGAUUAUUGAAGCGAAAGACGUACCAGCUAAGAAGAAGUACUUAUGCGAACUGUGCUUGGACGAGGUUCUAUACGCGCGGACGACAUGCAAGUUGAAAACGGACAAUGUCUUUUGGGGGGAGCACUUUGAGUUCAACAACCUCCCGUCGCUCCGGAGCAUCACCAUCCAUUUGUACAAAGAGACAGACAAGAAGAAGAAGAAAGACAAGACCAACUUCAUUGGGCUGGUCAGCAUCCCAGCGGGUUCCGUCACAGGGCGGCAGUUUGUUGAGAAGUGGUACCCUGUGGUCACGCCCAACCCCAGCAAGGGCAAAUCUGGGGGACCCAUGAUCCGCAUCAAGUCGCGUUACCAAAGCAUGAGCAUCCUUCCCAUGGAGAUGUACAAGGAGUUUGCGGAGUACAUCACCAACAACUACCUGGCUCUCUGCUCAGUCCUGGAGCCAGUGUUGAGUGUGAAGAACAAGGAAGAGAUGGCCUCAGCUCUGGUCCACAUCCUACAAAGCACUGGAAAGGCCAAGGAUUUCUUGACUGACCUCAUGAUGUCCGAAGUGGACCGCUGUGGUGAAAAUGAGCACCUUAUUUUCAGAGAAAACACCCUCGCCACAAAAGCGAUCGAGGAAUACCUCAAGCUGGUGGGGCAGAAGUACUUGCAAGAUGCCUUAGGUGAGUUUAUCAAAGCUCUGUAUGAAUCGGACGAAAACUGUGAGGUGGAUCCUAGCAAAUGCUCCUCCUCGGAUCUCCCAGAGCAUCAGAGCAACCUGAAGAUGUGCUGUGAACUGGCGUUUUGCAAAAUCAUCAACUCGUACUGCGUGUUCCCACGAGAGCUGAAGGAGGUCUUUGCCUCCUGGCGGCAGGAGUGCAGCAGCCGUGGCCGGCCCGACAUCAGCGAGAGGCUAAUCAGCGCCUCCUUGUUCCUCCGCUUCCUCUGCCCUGCCAUCAUGUCCCCGUCUCUCUUCAACCUGCUGCAGGAAUAUCCCGACGAUCGCACCGCCCGCACUUUGACCCUCAUUGCCAAGGUCACGCAGAACCUGGCCAACUUUGCCAAGUUUGGCAGCAAAGAAGAAUACAUGUCAUUCAUGAAUCAGUUCUUGGAACACGAAUGGACGAACAUGCAGCGGUUUCUGUUGGAGAUCUCCAAUCCUGAGACUCUUUCCAACACGGCAGGCUUUGAAGGGUACAUUGACCUGGGCCGGGAGCUGUCCACUUUGCAUUCUCUGCUCUGGGAGGUCAUAUCACAGCUGGAGCAGAGCACAGCAACCAAACUUGGGCCGCUGCCGCGCAUCCUGAGGGACGUCAACACGGCUCUCAGCAACCCGUCCUGCGUGCAAGUCUCCAUCAGCGCAGACCACGCCGUGUCGACGCCCAACGCCGGCAACUGCAUCUCGGUGGGGCUGCAGAAGAUGGUGAUCGAGAAUGAUUUAUCUGGUCUGAUAGAUUUCACACGGUUACCGUCUCCAACCCCUGAAAACAAGGACUUGUUUUUUGUCACAAGGUCUGCGGGGGCCCAGCCCUCGCCUGCCCGGAGCUCCAGCUACUCGGAGGCCAAUGAGCCCGAUGUGCAGAUGCCCAACGGCAGCAAGAGCCUCUCCAUGGUGGACUUGCAAGACAAUCGGAUUUUGGACAGUGGGGCCACCAUACCAGGGACAGCCGACUCUCUCAAUGACAGUCAGUCCUCCAUCGGGCAGGUCCCGGGUGUCUGGAGCGCACGAACUCAGCAGAACAACGUGGCCGGCAUGGCCACCGUACGUCGGGUGGGCCAAACCCCGACAACGCCCAACGCUGAGAGCGCCCCCGGCCGGCCCCAGCUCUUGGCUCCCCUCUCCUUCCAGAACCCGGUUUACCAGAUGGCAGCGGGGCUGCCGCUCUCGCCCCGGGGCCUGGCGGACUCCGGGUCUGAGUGCCACAGCUCGCUCAGCUCCCACAGCAACAGUGAGGACUUGGUGGCUAACAAGCAUGUCUUCACCAACCCGGCCGCCACCGAGGACUUUAACCGGCGAGCGGGGGAACUUGCCCGCCGGCAGCUUUCGCUAACGGACAAGGCCGGGCAGCCCACGAUGCCCCGGCAGAACAGCGGCGGCCCCCAGAGGCGGAUAGACCAGCCACCGCCGCCUCCUCCUCCGCCACCCCCCAUUACACGGGGCCGAACGCCGCCCUCCUUGCUGAACACCAUGCAGUACCCAAGGCCGUCCAGCGGGGGCAUGCUCUCCUCCUCGCCCGAUUGGCCAGGCAGUGGGGCACGGCUCCGACAGCAGUCCUCUUCCUCCAAGGGCGACAGCCCAGAGAUGAAGCAGCGCACCAUGCACAAGCAGGCCCCUUCUCCUGUGAACCCCAAUGCCCUGGACCGCACGGCCGCUUGGCUGUUGAAUAUGAACGUGCAGCUCUUGGAAGACGAGAGCAGCGACCCCGAGCCCAAGCGCAGGGAUAAGGGCCGAACUAAAGACGAGCUCAGCCAAGGGGAAAAGUAUCAGCAGGACGUGGUGGUCUUGCAAGACAAGCUGCGCAUCUCCAGCAAGAAGCUGGAGGAAUACGAAGCCCGCUUCAAAUGCCAGGAGGAAACCACCCAGAAGCUGAUGCUGGAAUAUCAGGCGAGGCUGGAGGAGAGCGAGGAGAGGCUGCGCCGGCAGCAGGAAGACAAGGAGAUCCAGAUGAAGGGGAUCAUCAGCAGGCUGAUGUCAGUGGAGGAGGAGUUGAAGAAAGACCACGCGGAAAUGCAGGCAACCGUGGACUCCAAGCAGAAGAUCAUAGAUGCACAGGAGAAGCGCAUAGCCUCACUGGAUGCAGCCAAUGCCCGGCUAAUGAGUGCCCUCACGCAGCUGAAAGAGAGGUACAGCAUGCAGACACGUAACGGGAUCUCCCCCACAAACCCAACUAAAUUGCAGAUUACAGAGAACGGCGAAUUCCGAAACAGCAGCAAUUGCUAAGCGGCGGGAGUGGCUGCUGCAAGAGAAAAAGAGAGAGAGUCUGGCCCGAGAGAGCACGCAAGCAGCAGCAGCCGCCGCAGGCGGAGGGUAUGCAUUAGGAAAAAAAAUUACCCAAAACCAAAGCAGGCCACUUUCUGGAGUACUGUCCUCUUUUAAGUGGGAGUGGGUGCUGCGUGGGAAGUUAACCACCGCGAAGGCCCGAAAGGGAAUAACCGACAAGAACAGCAGCCUCCGAAAAGUGUCUCCCCUUAUCAGAGUCGCUGGGCGGCCGUAAGCCAGGAUUAGCCGCUCCUAACUGCUUGCUUGUGGCUUAGUGGAAAGGGGUCACCUUCACUCACGGCAGGGCCUUGCGCUACUAACCUCCAACCACCUCGUAGCUGGGGUUUUGCUUUCAGUCAGUCCUGAUGAGCCCCCUCCCCUCCUCAGUGUCUUGUUUGUUACAAGGCCAGGGAAAGACGAUGUGUAGGGGAGCUGCCCCUUCCACCCUGUAAGAGAACACAGUUGGCACUUUGGUGCGUAGAAUCUGAAAGAAACAGGACAUCUUUGAAUUCUGUGUGGCUCCAGAAAAAGUUUCUAAGUUGCCUGGUGUUAAGCAUGGGCCAGCACCAGCGUGCAGGCUAGUGCAAAUUCUGCACCCAGACCCACAAAUGUGGACUGUUACAAGAAAGGACAUUUUUCCAAGGAGCUGUGGUCUCAAUUAAAAAAAAACAAAAACCUGAAGCCCUCAAAUCCGCACUGCUCUCCCACCCGGGACCGAAUGUUCUCCUAUUCUCAGACAAUCAUGUUACUUUGCUGCACCCAAAUCUCUCCAAAAUACAA